CCGGUCGGUCGGGUCGGGUCGGGUCUGACCGCCAAUCAAUCUGAACCAUCGAAAUCCAUCUAUCCGCCGCGACUUGUCCUGAUCCUUGCCUUUCCUUCCUCCUUCCUCUUUCCCCUCUUCCUCUCUCUCGCGCAUCCCCACCCUGCUCCGACCUGCCCAAGCUCCAAUCCAGCUCGGUGCGGCUCUUUGCUAGACUCCAACCACACUGCGCCAUAGAUCCGCCGGCGCCUUUACCGUUCCCGUUCUACCUCAUCGCGCACCUGCUGUCCUCACCCCGUCCGCGAUCUAGGACAUUGAUUUUGGAGCUCCUCAUAGCCGGCAGAUGGACGAGAUAUCGACCAGUGAAAUCGUUGGCGUCCAUGACCCGCGUGCAAUAGAUUUUUACGAUCUACGCGGUGUUGAUGAAGCCACAAAGGAAAAGAAAAAAGAACAGCAGAGGAUGAGAGCGGAACGCAUCAAAACCAAGCGCUUAAGCAUAAAAAAAAACGCUUGAGGAAGCAACGUAAAAGAGAGGAAGCUAAAGCAAUUGUGGACAGGGCCCUCCAGUUAAGAGAAGAGAUGUAUCAAAAAAGGCUCGAAUUUGAGGCAUCGGAAAAGGGCAAGGAGGAGCAGGAAAAGUACCGCAGCACCCCUCCCUGGAGCUGGAGGCCGGCAGUUCCCAUUACUGAAGUCACUAACCAACCACCAGCUUUCGAAUGGGUUCCAUCUUUUGACGUUGAUAAGUUUGGGAGAAUAUCUGUACUGAAGUGUACAAGUUGGAGAGUCGAGGAAUACACAUUGGAACUUGCUGAGUGUGUGGUUGGACUUCAGUCAUUUACAGAAGACAAGCAUCUUUUCUCUUGCUCUGGAACAAUUGUUGAGUUUCUAAAGGGUGUUGGUUGUGUGGUAACAUCUGCUAGUUUAGUUAAAUUGCCACACCAAGAUGAGAUAGCUGAUAAACUCAAGGUCAAUGUAUGCUUACCAAGCGGAGAAACACUUGAGGGCUCAGUAUCAAAUGUGGACUUUUGUUACAACAUAUGUGUGGUACAUGUCCGGUCAACUUCGCAGCUGCCAGCGAAAAGGUUCAGUGCGGACACUACAUUUUUCAAUUUCGAUGACUGCCAUUCGAAAGAUGUUGUAGCUUUAGGCCGCCUUUGUAAGCGAUGGAGCUUGAACGUUGCUUCUGGAAAGCUAACCCCAAGAAGAAGCCAGUUUGAUUGUGAAGAACUUCUUGUUUCAUCUUGCAGAAUUUCAAAGAGAGGUGUUGGGGGUCCUCUGAUGGAUUUUGAUGGAAAUAUCAUCGGAAUGAACUUCUAUGACAAGAAAGAAACCCCUUUCGUUCCAGGUUUCAUCGUGUUGAAGUGUUUGCAACACUUCAAUGAUUUCGGGAGGGUCAUACGACCGUUGCAUGGACUGAGAGUUAAAACUCUUCACGAAGAACAGCUUACUGUACUUGAGAAGAUACAUCUGGUCUUCCCUGGGGUCUGUGGUGUCAUAGUGGAGAAGGUACAAGUGCCUUCACCUGAACAUUCUGAGAUAAAGGCUGGGGACAGUGGUGUCAUGGUGGACAAGAUAGAAGUACAUUCACCUGAACAUUCUGAGAUAAAGGUUGGGGACAUCAUCACUCAUGUUGAUGGCAUACCUUUCUCCAGUGCUGCAGAGAUGGGAAAUGUGAGGUGGAAAUGGGAAAGCAGGGUGAGAUGACCUUUCUUUUAACAGAGGGUCCCGAGAACCCAGUAGCUGAUAUUAUAUAUGACAACAAGUUAGAACAUACUAGCUAAUACAGGUAUCCCUACUACGAAAAACAUUCACUCCCUUCUUUGGUAGACAAGAUCUGAAAAGAACCAGGAUUGGAACUGGUUUGCUGGUGGGAAUGGGAUAUGGAUUGAAAAAUAACCUUCAUCUUUCUCACCACAUGAAUGACCCUUCUUCCUCGACAUGAUGCUAAAUAGUUGCCUGAAUGUUUUACUGAUUACUGGCAUGCUCAGACUAAUGAACACCUGCUCUGGCUGUAUUGGUCACUCAGGUGGUCGUCAUCUUGUUUUUGGACGGCAUCAACCCAUCUCAGCUUCCAUCGCUGCUUACUCUCCCUGGCAGCACUAAUCACGCUGCCAAGCUCAUCACGUAUGCUUGAGCUGCUCCCUUGCCCCUUUGUUGCUUUGUGAAGCAUCGUUCUCGAUCUGCCCCUCAUGUUAUCGAUCGCAGCUGUUGCAUCACCCAAACUUAGUGUCCGUUACUUGCCAAGAUCAUGGAAUGCUACUGCUCUAGGUGCAUGAAGAACAUCCUCCAUGGCUCCGGAGCGUCGGUCAUCCGCUGAACAUCGGCCAUGAUGGCAUGAUCUGAAAGAAAGGGGAAAGGGGUAGGCUCGGUAUAGGUGAAGUACGUUCAUUUGGAUAGCGCAGGGACUUCUCCAACUCAAAUACAAAUACGAAGAUACAGUACAUAGCAUAGAAAAGCAGAUCUGGUAUCACUGAUUGCCAGUAGGCCUCAUCUGGUCACCACCAGGAACUGGUAAUUUGUGCGAUGUUGUUUAACAACACACAUGUUUUUUUUGUUAGUUUGGUGGUAUACUGCUUGAUACGUGUGGUCAGCAUAUGCUAGAGAGGCAGAAAUUGGGCCUACCGGAGAACGACAACCAGAUGUCAACAGUGAUAAGCCUAAAGUUCGACGUGAAAACACAGAGAGGUCGCAAAUCGGAAAAGACAACCAGAACAA